UACGUAGGGUGCAAGCGUUAAUCGGAAUUACUGGGCGUAAAGCGUGCGCAGGCGGUUAUGCAAGACAGAUGUGAAAAUCCCCCGGGCUCAACCUGGGAACUGCAUUUGUGACUGCAUGGCUAGAGUACGGGUAGAGGGGGGAUGGAAUUCCGCGUGUAGCAGUGAAAUGCGUAGAUAUGCGGAGGAACACCGAUGGCGAAGGCAAUCCCCCUGGACCUGUACUGACGCUCAUGCA
rnacentral:rRNA from 1 species